GCUUCCAGCUUUCGUCCGGCCUUCUCUGUCUUUGAGCGUGGGGGCCCCGGCUAGGCGCAGGUAUCUGAGGGUUCCCGGGGGCGGACACAAACUUGCUCGGGAGAGGUUGGCACCUAGGUGUCGCGGUUCCUAAGCCCACCAAAGGGACUGAGUCUCAGAGCGUAACGUCAGACCCAGUUUGCCUUCUGGGGAAAGCUGGCCCAAGUGAGUCACCCAAUCCAUCCAUCGUGCCCGAGGGAUUACUACCAGAGUGGAGAAGUGUCAGGGCCAGGACCUGGAAGUUUCAUCUCUCCGGUACUCUAGCCCACGAGAAGUCAGGUUGGUCUAACCGACCUAAACCUUGGACAGGUACUUGGUGCCUUCAUAGUCUUCUUUGAAAGGCAGAUAGAAGUGCAAUAAUUGCUUGGCUUUCACACCGUCUUUGGACAAGGCUCUCCAUAACAGGAUUCAGUCGUGUGUUGCAGCACUGCUUCUAAGGAUAAAAGCCAGGAAACAAUCGACUCUUGGAUUUGUAAGAGACUGAGGAUAUACAAGGGCAGGAAUCUCCAAGAUGAAUAAUAAAGGAAAGCAGAAAAGGAGUUUAUAUAAGAGACAUUUACAUAUGAUAAAAGAAGCAAGCCAGCAACGCAUCCUGAAACUGGAAAGAGCCUAGAUGCCCCUCAACAGAAGAAUGGAUAAAGAAACGGUGAUAUAUUUAAACAGCAUAUUACACAAUAGAGUAUUUCUCAGCUGUCUCAAAAACAAAAACAUGGAACUUGAAGGUAAAUGGAUGGAUUAGAAAAAAAAAUCAUCCUGAAUGAAGAAACUUGGACCCAAAAAGAAAAAUACAGUACAUGUAAUCAC
rnacentral:lncRNA from 1 species